UCACUUCAGAAUUGACACUUUAAGGAAAACAGCCAUGGUCCAGCAUGAAGGCCAACUAAGCUUUCCUAUAACAUAAAGGCAAAUAUGCUGAAUAAACUGUACUUUUAAAAAUAAUGUAACAAGGCAUUCCAAACCAAUGAAAGGCGGGGAGAGAGAGAGAAGAGAAUCUCCAGUUGCCAAAAGCAGAAAAACUUCAAAAUAGGUUGGAAUUAGAGGAAUCACCAUUUCCGCCCCCUCACUCAGGGAGUCAUGGUUUCCUGUAGCACCAUACUGCAAGUAAUUUCCUACCUCCCUCUGAGAUUCUGUGCCUUCAAAUUUUGGAGGAAGCUGGCACAUAAGAGCGGCUAAGAGUGCCCCGUGAUGCUCUCUAUUUUCUGUUCCUCUCCUUCCAGAGUCUUUGUGCCAUUCUUCAAAAAUCGUCCUACAGAAAUCUGUUGCUGAGAUUUGUCAGACACGGCACUGUUGCAUGUGUAUCUUGCCCAGAGGGAAAGACAAAGUUAAGGAUCUGGGACCUCAAACCUGCUUUGACUUUCAACUUGCUACAGACUGGGUAGAAAAAUCACCCAGACCAAAGAAAUGUAGCCUGGCUUAUUCAGAGAGAGAGAAGAAAACUGGAUGCAACAGGAAACAGGCUCGAGUGAGGGAAUGGAUUCUUAGACUUUCUGAAGUAAACCCUGAUUGCAUUGCUCUUGAAAUUAGGAGUAAUACUUUAAUUGUUCCCAUGGCAAUAAAUACAAGUACCCCUUCUCUGCUUACUAUGUGUCAGGCACAAGCUCUUGACACAUGUAAUUUCUUUUUAAUCUGCCUGACAAUCCUCAGGAUGGCUGGUACUAUAUUGUUCAAUUUAUAGACUAGAAAACAUAAGCUUAAAUGAUAAAAACUUUCUCAAAUUCAAACAAGGAGUAAUCCAGCUUGUCAGUUUUGAUAAGGGCAGCCAUCUUUGGUUGGAUAGCUUAUGUCAGUUAGGUAAGUGGUGUCUAAAAUUCACUCUCCACUCCACUCACCAUUCUAUGAGCCCCAUGCAGGUCCAUGCCCACUCACAGGAAGGGGCACUUUUUGCACCGCAAGGAUGGGCAACAGCCACUGAGUCCCAAGCCCAGUUUUCCACCCCUGCACUGUGAGUGAAACUAGAGAUCUGAGUUCAGCUAGUCGUGCCUUGACAAUAUGCUGUCAGCAUUGGCUGAGGCACGUUCAAGAAUGCUCUAUGGAGCAGAUGCUACUUCUGUAUUACCGGUAACUGCUUAUGGUAUUUUCCACAAUAGUCAUUAGAGAAUUAAGUCCUUU